UUCUCCCUGAGACUUUAAGUCUCCUGAAGGAACGUUAAAGACGAUGACGUUGAUAGGCCGGGUGUGUAAGCGCAGCGAUGCGUUGAGCUAACCGGUACUAAUGAACCGUGAGGCUUAACCUU
rnacentral:rRNA from 1 species